CAGCCGCCGCGGUAAUACGUAGGUGGCGAGCGUUGUCCGGAUUUAUUGGGCGUAAAGGGAGUGUAGGCGGUCUUUUAAGUCUGAUGUGAAAGCCCACGGCUCAACCGUGGAGGGUCAUUGGAAACUGGGAGACUUGAGUGCAGAAGAGGAGAGCGGAAUUCCAUGUGUAGCGGUGAAAUGCGUAGAUAUAUGGAGGAACACCAGUGGCGAAAGCGGCUCUCUGGUCUGUAACUGACGCUGAGGCUCGAAAGCGUGGGGAGCGAACAGGAUUAGAUACCCCAGUAGUCCCUGUCUCUUAUAC
rnacentral:rRNA from 1 species